AUACGUAGGGGGCGAGCGUUGUCCGGAUUUACUGGGCGUAAAGGGUGAGUAGGCGGUUAUAUGUGUCAGAUGUAAAAGGCUAUGGCUUAACCAUAGUUAGCAUUUGAAACUGUAUGACUUGAGUGCAGGAGAGGUAAGUGGAAUUCCUAGUGUAGCGGUGAAAUGCGUAGAUAUUAGGAGGAACACCAGUGGCGAAGGCGACUUACUGGACUGUAACUGACGCUGAGUCACGAAAGCGUGGGUAGCAAACAGGAUUAGAUACCCUGGUAGUCCACGCUGUAAACGAUGAGUGCUAGGUGUUGGCCAGCGAUGGUCAGUGCCGCAGUAAACACAUUAAGCACUCCGCCUGGGGAGUACGGUCGCAAGACUGAAACUCAAAUGAAUUGACGGGG
rnacentral:rRNA from 1 species